CGAGCUCCGCUGAAGCCACAACAACGCUUGAAGAUUCUUAAGACCUUUUUGAUUUCCAGGUUCAUCCACGUUUUUGUGUUGGAACGUACUUCAUGUGGUCUCCUUAGGAAACUAGAUAGGCAGAUACGAGCGGCGGUUCGCCGCUGGCUCCGCCUUUCGGAUGACAUUCCUAAAACCUUAUUCCACUCUCCCAUCGCGAGGGGUGGACUGGGAAUUGGUGAACUAUGCCUUGUCAGGACGAAGUCAGGGGAAACCCUGAUGGAGGUCCGUAGCGAUUCUGACGUGCAAAUCGAUCGUCGGAACUGGGUAUAGGGGCGAAAGACUAAUCGAACCAUCUAGUAGCUGGUUCCCUCCGAAGUUUCCCUCAGGAUAGCUGGCACUCGGCCGUUCCGCACGGAACGCGCGCGAGUCUCAUCUGGUAAAGCGAAUGAUUAGAGGCCUUGGGGCCGAAACGACCUCAACUUAUUCUCAAACUUUAAAUGGGUGAGAUCUCUGGCUUUUUUGAACUAUAAAGCCACGAGCAUUUCGGAUCAGAGUGCUAAGUGGACCAUUUUUGGUAAGCAGAACUGGCGCUGUAAGAUGAACCAAUCGCAGAGUUAAGGCGCCCAAUUCGACGCUUAUGGGACGCCAUGAAAAGCGUUGGUUGCUUAAGACAGCAGGACGGUGGCCAUGGAAGUCGGAAUGCGCAUAGGAGUGUGUAACAACUCACCUGCCGAAGCAACUAGCCUUGAAAAUGGAUGGCGCUGAAGCGUCGAGCCUAUACUAUGCCGUCAGCGGCAAGUGGGGCAACAAACGGGGGAGCGGGCGCGCGAGCGUUUGUCUCUCUCGCGUCGUCACGAAGCCCUGACGAGUAGGAGAGUCGCGACAGUGAGCGCAGUAGGGUUUGGGCGUGAGUCUGCCUGGAGCCGCCGUCGGUGCAGAUCUUGGUGGUAGUAGAAAAUACCCCAGAGAGGCUCUGGAGGACUGACGUGGAGAAAGGUUUCGUGUGAACAGCCGUUGUACACGAGUCAGUUGAUCCUAAGCUCUAGGAGAAAUUCUAUGUCAAUGACGGCGUACGAUAGUGUUGUCAUAUAAUAUAUAUAAGACACACGCCCGUCGGGCGAAAGGGAAUCCGGUUCCUAUUCCGGAACCCGGCAGCGGAACCGCAUACAAUUCGGGCCCUCGUAAGUGUUCGUCGGGGUAACCCAAAAUGACCUGGAGACGCCGUCGGGAGAUUCGGGAAGAGUUUUUUUUCUGUAUAACCGUUUGAGUUCCCUGAAAACUUCUAGCAGGGAGAUAGGGUUUGGAACGCGAAGAGCACCGCAGUUGCGGCGGUGUCCGGAUCUUCCUCUCGGACCUUAAAAAUCCAGGAGAGGGCCACGUGGAGGUGUCGCGCCGGUUCGUACCCAUAUCCGCAGCAGGUCUCUAAGGUAAAGAGUCUCUAGUCGAUAGAAUAAUGUAGGUAAGAGAAGUCGGCAAAUUGGAUCCGUAACUUCGGAAUAAGGAUUGGCUCUGAGGAGCGGAGCGUGUCGGGCUUGGUCGGGAAACGGGUCUGGCUAACGUGCCGGGCCUGGGCGAGGUGAACGGUCGGCGUUCUCGCGCCGGUCCCGGGAUUCGAGCUCGGUCCCUUGCCUUGGCCUCCCGCGGAUCUUCCUUGCUGCGAGGCUUCCGUGGCGGCGCGAGCCGUCGUGGUCGUUCUUUUCGGCCGCCAUUCAACGCUCAGCUCAGAACUGGCACGGACUAGGGGAAUCCGACUGUCUAAUUAAAACAAAGCAUUGCGAUGGCCCUCGCGGGUGUUGACGCAAUGUGAUUUCUGCCCAGUGCUCUGAAUGUCAACGUGAAGAAAUUCAAGCAAGCGCGGGUAAACGGCGGGAGUAACUAUGACUCUCUUAAGGCGAGUCAGUGGAGUCAGUGGCUUGACGUGCUGAGGAUCCCGGGGUCGAUUCCGGCCAAAACCAAAAAUUCUGUACGGCUUUUUCUCGGGUGAACCAAUGCUGAUCUGGUAGAGGGUUGCUGGCUUUACAGGGUGGUAUAGUCUGGGAUUUUUCGGACUAUGCCAUCAAGUCGGUUUCUCCCUCUAAUACUGGGCUCGCCCCCUUCCUCCUACAGACGGAGACCAGGGAAAGAGGGAAUACCGGCGCAACUGGGCCCCUGGGGUUGCCAGCCCCUUCGGCCUGUAUUAGUUGGCCCAAAUACAAGAAGUAACCAAGCCUCGGAUAAUGGUGAGGGGCCCUUUGGCCAACCCACACCAGCUACCUCCCCAAUACCAGGACCGGCCAAAUUCAGAUGUAAAUUUCCAGGAUGUGAUAGGACCUUUCGGAGCAACCGAGGGAGAGGCGUCCACAAUCAACGGGUGCACAAGGAUUGGUACGAUGCGCAGAUCCAGGUACCAGCGGAGCAAACAAGAUGGACAACAGAGGAAGUGGGUCUGCUGGCUAGGAUAGAGGUGGAGCUUGUCUCUGGAGGUCAACCACCACGAUUCAUUGACCAAGAACUCCUGGGCUUCUUCGCCCAUCGCUCCCUAGAAGCAAUUAAAGGAAGAAGAAAAAGACAAGACUACAGGGACCUGGUGGAGACACUACUACAACAGAAUGAAUCGGAGGCGGAGUCAGACAGCGUUGUCAACUGCUGAAAAAAUAACCCGCUAAAUUCGAAUUGAAAUACCGCUAGAAAACCGUCAGAUAAACAAUAUAUGUAUA
rnacentral:ncRNA from 1 species